CCAUUCCUGGCAGCCGAUGCAUCUCGCCGGCGUCACUUUCGCUGCUGCAGCAGAUUCAGGCGAUGACCCAGCAGCAGCAGUUUUUGCAAGGACUCGGUGCCCAGACUGAUACAACGACGGCAGCUGCCGCGGCUGGACUGUUGAGCCCGCUGUCGAUGCAGAACCUGGUGACCCUGGCGGCCAUGACGCAACCAUCGCUUCAAGCCGCUGCCGCUCAAACACCCACCGCGGCCAUUACCAACGCAGCGACCUCACUGUGUAAGUAGCUACUUUCCGUGUUUGGCUUUGUUUGUUUGUUUGGACUGUCCUUGGAUGUUUCCCCCAAACCAGGAAUUCCGUUCGUUGUUUGAGACUAACUUCCUUGCUGUGUCUGUUGUCGAGUGCGUCUUAUGCGAGGGAAAUAGUUCGUACGGUAUUUGUACAGCGUUCCACUUCAAAGAAAUCUUCGAUUUUUCGGCAUCUGCUUUCAAAGUUCCUUCUGGUUGUAGAAAAUCUAUUAAGUUCAAAACAUAAAUAAAAGGAGAUACAAAGUCUA